rnacentral:rRNA from 1 species
GAUGAACGCUGGCUACAGGCUUAACACAUGCAAGUCGAGGGGAAACGACGGGGAAGCUUGCUUCCCCGGGCGUCGACCGGCGCACGGGUGAGUAACGCGUAUCCAACCUGCCUCUGACUGAGGGAUAACCCGUCGAAAGUCGGCCUAAUACCUCAUGGCAUCGUCUGCGGGCAUCCAACGACGAUUAAAGAUUUCAUCGGUCAGAGAUGGGGAUGCGUCUGAUUAGCUUGUUGGCGGGGUAACGGCCCACCAAGGCGACGAUCAGUAGGGGUUCUGAGAGGAAGGUCCCCCACUUUGGAACUGAGACACGGUCCAAACUCCUACGGGAGGCAGCAGUGAGGAAUAUUGGUCAAUGGGCGAGAGCCUGAACCAGCCAAGUAGCGUGCAGGAUGACGGCCCUAUGGGUUGUAAACUGCUUUUAGGCGGGGAUAAAGUGAGGGACGUGUCCUUCAUUGCAGGUACCGCAUGAAUAAGGACCGGCUAAUUCCGUG